rnacentral:piRNA from 1 species
UUUUGGUCAUAGUGUUUAGUCGCUGC